UACAGAGACUGCAAGCGUUAUUCGGAUUCACUGGGCGUAAAGGGUGCGCAGGCGGCCAAGUGUGUGAGGCGUGAAAGCCCGGGGCUUAACUCCGGAAUUGCACCUCAAACUACAUGGCUAGAGCAUUGGAGAGGGUAGCAGAAUUUACGGUGUAGCAGUGAAAUGCGUAGAUAUCGUGAGGAAUACCAGAGGCGAAGGCGGCUACCUGGACAAUUGCUGACGCUCAGGCACGAAAGCGUGGGGAGCAAAAGGG
rnacentral:rRNA from 1 species